rnacentral:lncRNA from 1 species
AUCGGCUGUAAGGUGAGAUCAUAUCCUGGGAAACAGCAAGGUCAAGCUGAGCUCAGGUGCCCUGGAGCAGAGGAGGGGAAGAGAUGGAUAGAUGGAGAGGCUGAGCAGAAAAAGAAGAUGUACUCGGCCCUGUUCCAGCUCAACCCAGCCCAGGCCCAAGCUGCAGAGGUGAAUAGAGCUGCAUUGGUGGAUGGCAGUGCAGAGGAUGAACAGAAUGAGAAGACACUGAACACCUGGGCAGCUCUGACUUCAGAUACCGAAAGCUACUAAGGAACAGCAAGACCCAAGGACCCAAGAGCAGGUUAAUGUCAAUCAAACUAAGAAGAUGCUGGUUGACUUUGGUCAGGAAGUCCAAACCACCCCGUCACAAGUCAGCUGAUUUGGUGGACAUAAAUCUCGUUGGAACUGCUAUAAGUACUUAA